UGAACUCCUUGUUAGCAGUUUACUUUUUUGGUCAGACGUGUAGACUGAGCUUUUUCUUUUAACCCUCCUCAGCCUCCUGUGUGUUCUCUGCGUUUGAGUCUGAGUGUUCACCACAGCUGUUUCACUCCCCUGAGCCAAAAUAAAAAACUAAAGUCUCUCCUCAGUUCUUAAAGAUGUAUUUGUCAUGCCUCCUCCUUCUUGCACCCCCCGUACAUAAUGAACAGUCCCUACAUUCCCAGUUACAGUAACCUUCCCAACUUUAAUGAGUGUUGUUUUAAAUGUCGUCCUCUCCUGUUAGACUGAUGUCCUCCCCAAAAACACGUUUGUCAGGCUUUUAUUUUGAAGGCUGUGACCGGAUGUUAUGAGUUUUAUUGCGGCAGACUUGACGGUAGAGUCUCGUGCUUGUGCGGCGGAGCAGCGCGAGCGGCUCAGCUGUUCAAACCUCGGUCAGUUCACACUGAGACACUGACACGGUUUACUUUGUUUAUAACGGAAGUCAGAGAGGAGUUUAUUGUCCCGUGUUUGUCCCGGUAACGUUAGUUAUCCCUGUUUAUUGUCCCGGAGUUUCUCCCGGUUUGUCCCGGUGUUCCUCCGACUUUCUCCCGGUGUUUGCUCCGGAGUUUGUCCCGCAGAGGAAUGUGAGUGUCGGGUUGUAACGUCGCUGACAGUCGGUCAGACUCACCGUUCCUGUUCUGGGUCCAUCUGUGCCGUUAAACCGGAGAAAGAACCGGACCGACCCGGCAUCACCCGUCCGGUCCCGGUGUCGGUGUUUGGAGCCAAACGGAACCCCCAUCCCGGGUUUAAAAUGCCGGGUCUGAGCGCACUGGUCCUUCUGAGUCUGUGUCUGAACCUCCACACAUGCCGGGGCUUCCCCAACAAGCUGCCCGAGCUGAGCGCCUCGCUGCCCGGACACUUCUCCUUCACCGACCCGCUGCUGGACUACGACCGGCUGGAUGAGGAGCUGGGCGGCGGCGGGGGGCGGAACGGGACCGGCGGCCGCACGGAGGAGGGCUGCGGGCCGUGUGAGCCGGACCUGUGCCCGGAGACCCGGAGCUGCCGGGCCGGCCUGGUGCUGGACUCCUGCGGCUGCUGUAAGGAGUGCGGGAACCUGGAGGGUCAGGCCUGCGACCCGGGGGACCGCAGCGUCUACUACGGGCUCUGCGGGACCGGGAUGCGGUGUCGGGCGGACCCUCGGCUCGCAGGAGGAGUAGAGGAGGAUGAAGAGGAGGAGGAGGAGGUGUGUGUGUGUGAGGAGCAGGAGGCGGUGUGUGGCUCUGAUGGAGUCACAUACAUGAACAUGUGUCAGUUCAGAGAGGCCGCGUUCUCCAGACCUGAGCUGCAGACCAGAGGGAGGGGGCCCUGCAAGACCGUCCCCAUCAUUAAGGUCCCCCCUCACAGCCAGGUGAACGGGACAGGAAGUAGUCUGGUCUUCCUCUGUGAGGUCUUUGCGUUCCCGAUGGCGCUGGUGGAGUGGAGGAAGGAGGGCCAAGACGUCGUCCUGCCCGGAGACGACCCCCACAUCUCAGUCCAGUCUCGGGGCGGUCCUUUGAAGUUCGAGCUCUCCAGUUGGCUGCAGAUCGAGGGGGCGGGGCUAGAGGACUCAGGAACCUAUCGCUGCAUCGCUCGUAACAACUUGGGAUCAGUGUCGGCCUCGGCUGUACUGGGAGUACUGGGAGCAGACGCAUCGUGACUGAGAUGAGCAGUCAGCCUGGGUUUGUGAUGUCACUAACCUGAGGAGCCAAUCCUGUGAACUUUGCUGACCGAGCUUUUCAUAAUGCAGCUGAAGGGAGGGAAAUCAGUGGAGAAGCAGAGGAGCUGUCGACCUACCUGGCCAACAGCGUGUCAGAGAUGAAGCAGCUGAUGGACGCCACAGACUACGACCAGGACUUUUACUGAGGCACGUGUGAUGUCACUUCCUGCCGUCUGACGCCAUUUGGCUUCCCUUCAGCAGAGACAGUAAAAACAUGGUGACAUCACACUGAAGGACGACAAAGACAAAUAUUGAUCAUGUUAUUUUAUUAUUAAUAUUAUCUCAGUGAUGUAUGCUAUCGUUACUCUGACGCCACAGUGGGCGGAGACACGGAGGCUCAGCAUGUUGAACGUGUUGAUGAUGUCACAGGUUCGAGCCUGAGUCUUCUGUUGGCUCGUCACUGUGAAACAAACUUUAUCUUAUUAAUAAAAUAAUAAACUAAA